GGUGAGGAAGUCUGCAGAUGAGGUGAGGCCUUUCAGGAAGCUCGAUGGUGAAGAAUCCGCCUGCCAAUGGAGGAGAUACACAUUGGAUUCCUGGGUCGGUAAUUGUUUGAGGCAAGUUCUUUAGAGGUUCCCAUUCGCUGGUUAAGAGGAGCUAGAACUGAUUCCUGGGCCACCAUAGGAUCUACACGUAGACCGAGAUCUCUGUGCCUAUUACCAAUGCACAGAACCCAAUCCUGAUAAGGACCUGAGUAAAGUCUUACCAUAUAGUGAAUAUAACAACAGAGCCACCUACUGCCACGAUGUUCCACCAUGACACCUGAUCAACACGGGAGACCUGACUCCCAUCUUCC
ensembl:lncRNA